CCUACGGGAGGCAGCAGUGGGGAAUUUUGCGCAAUGGGGGCAACCCUGACGCAGCAACGCCGCGUGAGUGAUGAAGGCCUUCGGGUCGUAAAGCUCUGUCAGAGGGGAAGAAAUGCAGGUGGUGAACAACCAUUCUGUUUGACGGUACCCUCAAAGGAAGCACCGGCUAACUCCGCGCCAGCAGCCGCGGUAAUACGGAGGGUGCGAGCGUUGUUCGGAAUUAUUGGGCGUAAAGCGCGUGUAGGCGGUUUGUUAAGUCUGAUGUAAAAGCCCCGGGCUCAACCGGGGAAGUGCAUUGGAUACGGGCAGACUUGAGUACGGGAGAGGAGAGUGGAAUCCCCGGUGUAGGAGUAAAAUCCGUAGAUAUUGGGAGGAACACCGGUGGCGAAGGCGGCUCUCGGGACCGAUACGGACGCAGAGACGCGAAAGCGGGGGGAGCAAACAGGAUUAGAUCCCCUGGUAGU
rnacentral:rRNA from 1 species